rnacentral:misc_RNA from 1 species
AAGGCUAACGGAGGUCCGAUCAGCUAGGCUAGGCAAACAGCUGGUGGAGCUCUCGGGGACUGAGAUCAGAAAGCUGUGUCUAGCUUCUAAGGACAUCUUUCUUCAACAGCCUAAUUUGCUUGAGAUCAAACCUCCCAUCAAGAUUUGCGGGGACAUUCAUGGCCAAUAUUGUGAUUUAUUAGGGCUUUUUGAGCGUGGUGGUUAUCCCCCUGAAGCCAAUUACUUAUUUUUAGGGAGCUAUGUUGACCAUGGGAAGCAAAGUUUGGAGACAAUAUGCCUUUUGCUUGCUUAUAAGAUCAAAUAUCCAGAGAACUUCUUUCUUCUGAGAGGAAACCAUGAAUGUGCUUAUAUCAAUCGGUUAUAUGGAUUUUAUGAUGAAUGUAAA